AGCACAAGGAUUCACUCGUUUUAUCAUGGCUUCGCUUUUCUCAGCGGUAGAAGGAUUCAUGCAGGAAGGGGAAAAGUUGGCUUGAUGAGCGCUCUUCUUUCUGACUAUAUAUACAUAUAUAACAAGAGGGUCAACUAAAUAAGUUACCAAUUAAAAUAAUAAUCCUAUUCUACUCGGGAUUUAUUUAGUUCAAUUCUAACUCUUUCCUAAUCCAAUUCUAAUUCUCUUUACACUCCUAAAAACGAAGGAAUUAAAACAAAGCCUAGGCUUGCUUGCGUAAGAAGAAUAUGGAGUGGAGUUAGCACUUUCACAAUCUGAACGAAAGAAAGAAACAUAUAUAAAUGAUUGAUUGUGUAUGAUUUAGCCUAAAAUGUUUCCAAAUCGAUGGAAAGAAGGUCGUGGUUGCGUGGUGACUUCGCAAAUCAGGAGCAGCGUGGAUGUUUAUGAUGAUAUCGGUGCUCCCGAACCUUUGUCUGUUUCUGUAGACACAUACGGGACUGGCACCAUUUCCGACGAGGAGAUUCUCAAUAUUGUGAAGAGGGAAUUUGAUUUUGGGCCGGACAUACUUACCAUGAACCUGGAUCACGAGAGGGGUGGUGGCAAUGGCAGCUUCUUGAAGACCAUGCUGCCCAUGGAUUUUUUUGGUGGAUUUCACGGGGUAGGAAAUUGUGAAGCCCUUCGAUUCGGAUCCAUUGGGAUAUCAUGUCACUGAGGUUCUGGAAGACUGCUGUCUAUUGGAAGUUUCGCAGGGACUCUUUCUUUCGCACUCUAUGGUUUGUUCACUCAGCUUGUUGAAUAAAUGAAAACAACAUGGCUUGCUUGUAUUAGCCAUCUAUGGUUUGUUUUACUCCGCUUGUUGAAUCAUUUUUCCUAUGAUAGAAAACAAUAUGGCUUGCUUGUAUUUACCCAGUGUUGUUCAAUCAUUUUUCCUCUGUUGAAAACAUCUCAUUUGGUUUCU